GUUAUAGGAUCAAGCGACUAAGUGUAUGUGGUGGAUGCCUUGGCGAUCACAGGCGAUGAAGGACCCGGUAGCCUGGGAAAAGCCGUGGGGAGCUGGCAAGCAAGCUUUGAUCCACGGAUGUCCGAAUGAGGAAACUCACUUCCUUUAAGGAAGUAUCAAUGAGUGAAUACAUAGCUCAUUGAGGCGAACGCAGUGAACUGAAACAUCUAAGUAACUGCAGGAACAGAAAUCAACCGAGAUUCUGAAAGUAGCGGCGAGCGAAAUUGGAAGAGCCUGCAAGCGUUAGCGGAUUCGAUACCGGAACGGUCUGGAAAGGCCGGCUACAGAGGGUGACAGCCCCGUACGGGAAAUUGGAUCUGUGGGACUAAGCUUGCGACAAGUAGGGCGGGACACGAGAAAUCCUGUCUGAAGAUGGGGGGACCAUCCUCCAAGGCUAAAUACUCGUGAUCGACCGAUAGUGAACCAGUACUGUGAAGGAAAGGUAAAAAGAACCCCGGGAGGGGAGUGAAAUAGAUCCUGAAACCGCAUACAUACAAACAGUAGGAGCCCGCAAGGGUGACUGCGUACCUUUUGCAUAAUGGGUCAGCGACUUACGUUCAAUGGCAAGCUUAACCGAAUAGGGGAGGCGCAGCGAAAGCGAGUCCGAACAGGGCGAAAUUCAGUCGUUGGGCGUAGACCCGAAACCAGAUGAUCUAUCCAUGGUCAGGCUGAAGGUGUGGUAACACACACUGGAGGGCCGAACCGACUAGUGUUGCAAAAUUAGCGGAUGAACUGUGGAUAGGGGUGAAAGGCUAAACAAAUCUGGAGAUAGCUGGUUCUCCCCGAAAACUAUUGAGGUAGUGCCUCGUGUAGGGCUCCAGGGGGUAGAGCACUGUUAUGGCUAGGGGGACAUGGCGUCUUACCAAACCAUGGCAAACUCCGAAUACUUGGAAGUCAGAGCACGGGAGACAGAGCACCGGGUGCUAACGUCCGGACUCAAAAGGGAAACAACCCAGACCGCCGGCUAAGGUCCCUAAUAUUGACUAAGUGGAAAACGAAGUGGGAAGGCUAAGACAGUCAGGAAGUUGGCUUAGAAGCAGCCAUCCUUCAAAGAAAGCGUAAUAGCUCACUGAUCGAGUCUUCCUGCGCGGAAGAUGUAACGGGGCUAAGUCAAUAACCGAAGCCGCGGAUUCGACCGCAAGGUUGAGUGGUAGGGGAGCGUUCCGUAAGCCUGAGAAGGCGGACCCGCGAGGGCUGCUGGAGGUAUCGGAAGUGCGAAUGCUGACAUGAGUAACGUUAAAGCGGGUGAAAAGCCCGCUCGCCGCAAGCCCAAGGUUUCCUGCUCUACGUUCAUCGGAGCAGGGUGAGUCGGCCCCUAAGGCGAGGCUGAGAAGCAUAGCUGAUGGGAACCAGGUUAAUAGUCCUGGACCGAUUGCAGGUGCGAAGGAGGGACGGAGUGCUGAAGGUCAUCCGGGUGUUGGAUAUCCCGGUUUGCGAGCGUAGGAAGCCGGCAGGCAAAUCCGCCGGCGAAUUUCCGAGGCGAAGCAUCGAGGCUGGUUUCAGCUGAAGUGACUGAAUGGACUUCCAGGAAAAGCUUCUAAGCAUCAGCCUGCAAUUGACCGUACCGCAAACCGACACUGGUGGGCGAGCUGAAUAUGCUCAGGCGCUUGAGAGAACUCAGGAGAAGGAACUCGGCAAAUUGACACCGUAACUUCGGGAUAAGGUGUGCCUUUGUAGUGUGAAGGGAGAAACACCCGGAGCAUGAAGAGGUCUCAGAGAAUUGGUGGCUGCAACUGUUUACUAAAAACACAGCACUCUGCAAAGACGAAAGUCGACGUAUAGGGUGUGAUGCCUGCCCGGUGCUGGAAGAUUAAUUGAUGGGCUGCAAGGUCCUGAUCGAAGUCCCAGUAAACGGCGGCCGUAACUAUAACGGUCCUAAGGUAGCGAAAUUCCUUGUCGGGCAAGUUCCGACCUGCACGAAUGGCAUAAUGAUGGCCACACUGUCUCCUCCUGAGACUCAGUGAAGUUGAAGUGUUUGUGAUGAUGCAAUCUCCCCGCGGCUAGACGGAAAGACCCCAUGAACCUUUACUGCAGCUUUGCAUUGGACUUUGAACCGAUCUGUGUAGGAUAGGUGGGAGGCAGUGAAGUUAGGACGCCAGUCUUAACGGAGCCAUCCUUGAAAUACCACCCUGAUUUGUUUGAGGUUCUAACCUGGGAGCGUGAUCCGCUUCGGGGACCGUGCAUGGUAGGCAGUUUGACUGGGGCGGUCUCCUCCUAAAGGGUAACGGAGGAGUGCGAAGGUACGCUAGGCACGGUCGGAAAUCGUGCUGAUAGUGCAAUGGCAAAAGCGUGCUUGACUGCGAGUCCGACAAGACGAGCAGAUACGAAAGUAGGUCAUAGUGAUCCGGUGGCUCUGCAUGGAAGGGCCAUCGCUCAACGGAUAAAAGGUACUCUGGGGAUAACAGGCUGAUACCGCCCAAGAGUUCAUAUCGACGGCGGUGUUUGGCACCUCGAUGUCGGCUCAUCUCAUCCUGGGGCUGUAGCCGGUCCCAAGGGUAUGGCUGUUCGCCAUUUAAAGAGGUACGUGAGCUGGGUUUAAAACGUCGUGAGACAGUUUUGUCCCUAUCUGCCGUGGGCGCUGGAAGAUUGACGGGGGCUGUUCCUAGUACGAGAGGACCGGAAUGGACUCACCUCUGGUGUACCGGUUGUCACGCCAGUGGCACCGCCGGGUAGCUAUGUGGGGAAAGGAUAACCGCUGAAAGCAUCUAAGCGGGAAACCUGCCUGAAGAUAAGUCUUCCUGGAGGCUUUGACCUCCCUGAAGAGUCGUUCGAGACCAGGACGUUGAUAGGUCGGGUGUGCAAGCGCUGUGAGGCGUUGAGCUGACCGAUACUAAUUGCUCGUGAAGCUUGAUCCUAUAACCGUGAAGCUUUUCA
rnacentral:rRNA from 1 species